AUUGAACGCUGGCGGCAGGCUUAACACAUGCAAGUCGAGCGGGGUGAUGGUGCUUGCACUAUCACUUAGCGGCGGACGGGUGAGUAAUGCUUAGGAAUCUGCCUAUUAGUGGGGGACAACAUCUCGAAAGGGAUGCUAAUACCGCAUACGUCCUACGGGAGAAAGCAGGGGAUCACUUGUGACCUUGCGCUAAUAGAUGAGCCUAAGGCGGAUUAGCUAGUUGGUGGGGUAAAGGCCUACCAAGGCGACGAUCUGUAGCGGGUCUGAGAGGAUGAUCCGCCACACUGGGACUGAGACACGGCCCAGACUCCUACGGGAGGCAGCAGUGGGGAAUAUUGGACAAUGGGGGGAACCCUGAUCCAGCCAUGCCGCGUGUGUGAAGAAGGCCUUAUGGUUGUAAAGCACUUUAAGCGAGGAGGAGGCUCUUUUGGUUAAUACCCAAGAUGAGUGGACGUUACUCGCAGAAUAAGCACCGGCUAACUCUGUGCCAGCAGCCGCGGUAAGAC
rnacentral:rRNA from 1 species